AAGUCUGGUGCCAGCAGCCGCGGUAAUUCCAGCUCCAAUAGCGUAUAUUAAAAUUGUUGCGUCUAAAAAGCUCGUAGUUUGAAAACUUGCCUUGGCUUACAAUCGGUCCGUAUGGGCCACCGUUUGCUGAGCGCAAAUAUAGAUGACUGUUUUUGCCGACUUAGUUGUUGGGCUUACAAGAGUUAUCAAAUAUCACUUUGAUUAAAUUAGAGUGCUUAAAGCAAGUGUGUUACUUGGAUAUAAAUGCAUGGAAUGAUGGAAUAUGUUGUUGUUCUAUUUGUUGGUUUUGGAACGAUGAAAUGAUUGAAAGGAACUGUUGGGGGCAUUCGUAUUGUUGUGAGAGAGGUGAAAUUCUUAGACCACAGCAAGACGAACUACUGCGAAAGCAUUUGCCAAGAAUGUUUUCAUUGAUCAAGAACGAAAGUUAGAGGUUCGAAGGCGAUCAGAUACCGCCCUAGUUCUAACC
rnacentral:rRNA from 1 species